rnacentral:rRNA from 1 species
UACGUAGGGUGCGAGCGUUGUCCGGAAUUAUUGGGCGUAAAGAGCUCGUAGGCGGCUUGUCGCGUCGGAUGUGAAAGCCCGGGGCUUAACCUCGGGUCUGCAUUCGAUACGGGCAGGCUAGAGUUCGGUAGGGGAGAUCGGAAUUCCUGGUGGAGCGGUGAAAUGCGCAGAGAUCAGGAGGAACACCCGUAGCGAAGGCGGCACUCUGGUCCGAUACUGACACUGAGGAGCGAAAGCGUGGGGAGCGAACAGG